AGCAGCAUGGCGCAGUGGCAGCGCGCGGGGCCCAUAGGUUUACAGUCUUGUGACUGCACCGCAACCCCGAGGUCACUCGAUCGAAACGAGUUGCUGCUA